AUGUACAUUCCUACAACAUAGCGUUAAUGCAAUGGAUCCCAUUAGAACUCUGCAGUUAAGCUCACCCAGGAUAGAGUAGUGAUGGGAUGGGUGACCGCCAGAGAAUUCCUAGUAUUUUACAUG
rnacentral:rRNA from 1 species